rfam:Peptoniphilus lacrimalis DNF00528 contig008, whole genome shotgun sequence.
UGUGCUAUACUAACAAAGUUGACUUGUUCAACCCUUGGUGCUUAACUUCUUUCACCAAGCAUAUUAAACGCGGUGGAGCCGCUAAAGGAGAAAACAUG